rnacentral:rRNA from 1 species
GAUGAACGCUGGCGGUAUGCCUUACACAUGCAAGUCGUACGAGAGUUUUUAACUCAAGUGGCGGACGGGUGAGUAACACGUAAGAAUUUACCUUUAGGAGGGGGAUAACAACUGGAAACGGUUGCUAAUACCCCAUAUGCUUUCGAGUGAAAUGGGUUUCCGCCUAAAGAAAAGCUUGCGGCUGAUUAGCUUGUUGGUGAGGUAAUGGCUCACCAAGGCGACGAUCUGUAGCGGGUCUGAGAGGAUGAUCCGCCACACUGGAACUGAGACACGGUCCAGACUCCUACGGGAGGCAGCAGUGGGGAAUUUUGGACAAUGGGGGCAACCCUGAUCCAGCCAUGCCGCGUGAGUGAAGAAGGCCUUCGGGUUGUAAAGCUCUUUCGGCCGGGAAGAAAUCGUAUCAGCUGAUACCUGGUGCGGAUGACGGUACCGGCAUAAGAAGCACCGGCUAACUACGUGCCAGCCGCCGCAGUAACAC